rnacentral:rRNA from 1 species
CCUACGGGAGGCAGCAGUGAGGAAUAUUGGUCAAUGGGCGGGAGCCUGAACCAGCCAAGCCGCGUGAAGGAAGAAGGCGCCCGGCGUCGUAAACUUCUUUUGUCGGGGAACAAAGGGCGCCACGCGUGGCGUUGUGAGUGUACCCGAAGAAAAAACAUCGGCUAACUCCGUGCAAGCAGCCGCGGUAAUACGGAGGAUGCGAGCGUUAUCCGGAUUUAUGGGGAUUAAGGGGUGCGUAGGCGGUUCGGAAAGUCAGCGGUAAAAGCCCGGGGCCCAACCCCGGCGAGCCGGUGAAACUGUCGGACUAGAGAGGGGGAGAAGUACGCGGAAUGCGCGGUGUAGCGGUGAAAUGCGUAGAGA